rnacentral:rRNA from 1 species
GACGAACGCUGGCGGCCUGCUUAACACAUGCAAGUCGAACGGAAAGGCCCUGCUUUUGUGGGGUGCUCGAGUGGCGAACGGGUGAGUAACACGUGAGUAACCUGCCCUUGACUUUGGGAUAACUUCAGGAAGCUGGGGCUAAUACCGGAUAGGAGCUCCUGCUGCAUGGUGGGGGUUGGAAAGUUUCGGCGGUUGGGGAUGGACUCGCGGCUUAUCAGCUUGUUGGUGGGGUAGUGGCUUACCAAGGCUUUGACGGGUAGCCGGCCUGAGAGGGUGACCGGCCACAUUGGGACUGAGAUACGGCCCAGACUCCUACGGGAGGCAGCAGUGGGGAAUAUUGCACAAUGGGCGGAAGCCUGAUGCAGCAACGCCGCGUGCGGGAUGACGGCCUUCGGGUUGUAAACCGCUUUCGCCUGUGACGAAGCGUGAGUGACGGUAAUGGGUAAAGAAGCACCGGCUAACUACGUG